rnacentral:lncRNA from 1 species
ACUUUAGGAUCAAUAUUCAGUCGGUGGAUUAUUACUUCCAGAAAAAUUUCUGACAUAUCAGUUAUCGACCAAGCAAACAUAUCGACAUUUGCUCUUAGUAGAUUCACCAGUUGUUGCUGCUCCAGAUUAGACAAAUAUGAUCCAAUUUGGACUAUCUUCUCAGUAUCUUCUUCUUUUAAUGGGAUAGAAACUAGUUGCUCG